rnacentral:rRNA from 1 species
UGAGCAAUCUGCCCUUCUCAUCGGAAUAAGCGUUGGAAACGACGUCUAAUGCCGAAUACGACCUCCUUUCGCAUGAUCGGAGGUGGAAAGCUCCGGCGGAGAAGGAUGAGCUCGCGGCCUAUCAGCAAGUUGGUGUGGGUAAUGGCCCACCAAGGCGACGACGGGUAGCCGGCCUGAGAGGGUGACCGGCCACACUGGGACUGAGACACGGCCCAGACUCCUACGGGAGCAG